UUGCUUCUGAAUUCAGAGGAUGCGUUUAGCUUGUCACAUUAAGUCUGAUGUCAGCUCAAGGUUCUUCACAAAUGCCCUUAUCAGCUUGAAGAGAUCUCUGACUGCUGAAGCAAGAAGAACAGAGCUGAUGCUGUGUGCUUUUGUGCCCAAUGAAUUCCCUUCUUAAACUCACCCCAUUUCCUCAAGUCUAUCGCCUAAUGCAGUACUUUCCCCAAAGAUAAAAGGAAGACAUACCGCUCACUGAAUGUAAGGGAAUUAUGUAAUGUGUAAUAUGAGUGCCAAGCCAAACACUUGAAUUAACUGUGGGUGUGGGAUGGAGGGCAAAUGAGGAGGCACUGGGGGCUGUGUGAACCCGAGUUGAUGGGGAAAGACAGCACCAGUCCUUGGACACAUCCUCCCACAUCCACACUCUACUCGAUACUUGCCCACAUGAAUCCCCCUUCCUGCUGUCCUUGGGAUUUAACUAAGUGUCUGACAUCCACAGCCUGGGUUUCCUGGGCCCCUUUCCUGGGAGGUUAGUUGUUGAUAUAUCUAUAUUUUCCCUAGUCUCUGCCCUGGCAUCUCAGCUGGGAUUCCCUUCACCAACACAAGCUCCAUGCUCAUACACUGGCUUAAUUUUCCCCUCCCUGAAGACUGCACCACAAGAUCUAUGCUGACCCGUCUGCUGCCUGGAGAUGAAGGGACUCAGAUAGAAAAGGUGCUUCACACCGCUCAGGCUCCGCUCAGCCAUUGCAGAUCUGACUCCCUAAGUCCCCUCCAUCCAUCACUCUGCCUGUGGGUUCUCAUAAGACACAGCGGAGUCCCAGUCUUCCCCCGGAAAGCAUUUCUGCGGGUCAUAUGACGAGAACCCUAUAUCUGCUCAUUGGAUGGCCCCUGUCUGCUGAAUGUCAACACAGCAGUCUAAAACUGUGUGGUACACAUUUGAACUUGUAGGUCUU
ensembl:lncRNA